rnacentral:rRNA from 1 species
AUACGGAGGGUGCAAGCGUUACUCGGAAUCACUGGGCGUAAAGCGCGCGCAGGCGGCUUGGUAAGUUGGAUGUGAAAGCCUACGGCUCAACCGUAGAACUGCAUCCAAAACUGUCAAGCUAGAGUGUGGGAGAGGAAGAUGGAAUUAGUUGUGUAGGGGUAAAAUCCGUAGAGAUAACUAGGAAUACCAAAAGCGAAGGCAAUCUUCUGGAACACUACUGACGCUGAGGCGCGAAAGCGUGUGUAGCAAACAGGAUUAGAAACCCUAGUAGUCC